rfam:Gossypium raimondii Chr13_contig_1352, whole genome shotgun sequence.
UGGUUUAAUUCGAUGCAAAGCGAAGAACCUUGCCAGGGAUUGACAUGCCGCGAAUCCUCUUGAAAGAGAGGGGUGCCUUCGGGAAAGCGAACACAGGUGGUGCAUGGUUGUCGUCAACUCAUGCCGUAAGGUGUUGGGUUAAGUCCUACAACGAGCGCAACCCUCAUGUUUAGUUGCCACCGUUGAGUUUGGAAUCCUGAGUAGACUGCCGGUUGAUUUAUUCCGUACCCCUCGUUCAAUGAGAAAAUGGGUCAAAUUCUAUAGAAUCAAACCUAUGGGACUUA